rnacentral:rRNA from 1 species
CCUACGGGUGGCAGCAGUAGGGAAUCUUCCACAAUGGACGAAAGUCUGAUGGAGCAACGCCGCGGGAGUGAAGAAGGGUUUCGGCGCGGAAAGCUCUGUUGGUAGUGAAGAAAGAUAGAGGAAGUAACUGGCCUUUACUUGACGGUAAUUACCUAGAAAGUCACGGCUAACUACGUGCCAGCAGCCGCGGUAAUACGUAGGUGGCAAGCGUUGUCCGGAUUUAUUGGGCGUAAAGCGAGUGCAGGCGGUUCCAUAAGUCUGAUGUGAAAGCCUUCGGCUCAACCGGAGAAUUGCAUCGGAAUCUGUUGAACUUGAGUGCAGGAGAGGAGAGUGGAACUCCAUGUGUAGCGGUGAAAUGCGUAGAUAUAUGGAAGAACACCAGUGGCGAAGGCGGCUCUCUGGUCUGCAACUGACGCUGAGGCUCGAAAGCGUGGGUAGCGAACAGGAUUAGAUACCCCUGUAGUC